rnacentral:tRNA from 2 species
GCGGACGUAGUUCAAUUGCAGAACAGCGGCCUUCCAGGUCGAAGACGUUGGUUCAAAUCCAGCCGUCCGCUCCA